AUGGGAAAUAAAUCUACAAAACCCGAAUUGACUGCAGAUGAACAAUGGUUAGAGAAAAAAUGCCCUGGUGCAGGACAGAUAAGCGCAAAUAGGUGGAGAAAUCCCAAAAAAACAAACUGCACCGCCUGGGAGGGGAACUGUAGCCCUGGCCAAAUACAGCAAUUAAGCAAAUGCCUACACGCAGAGAUAGAAAAGACUAGUGGUAAAAAGAAAGUCCUGCGCAUGUACGAAUACGUAAGUUUCUUUGUACCAUGGCAGGAGGAAAGUAAGAAGCGUGAAGAGAAAAGAAACAAAAAGCAAAAUAAACAAAGCACCCUGCCCUCAACAAAAGCAGAGUGGAUGACAAAACUACUGGAAAACAAAGAAAUAGUUUUGAGCAACCAACUGCCGCGUGAUUCUCUCCCAGUCUCUUCCAGGUCCUGCUCACAACACCCACAGCAUGCAGGAUUGCUGAACGACCCUCGUGGAUUCAUCAAAGCCACACAAAAAAGGUUGAACCAAUCCAAGACCCACCAACAUCUCCUUAAAGUGAGUGAUAAGUUUAGACUCUGGUCCUCCCCAACCUCUAGUGUUCACUCGGUGGGGGGUAGGGUGAUCAGUGGCAACACUCGUGAUCCCACUCCUCUGGCUGAGGUCUACUCAUUAGAGGCUACGGGUGUGUCUGGUGGUCGAGAAGAGGAGAACACUCACAGGAAUGGAGAUGCUAGACAAAGAACCCAAGAUUCCACUGAGGGAGAAAGGAGAGAUGGACAUAGACGACGUCAAUAUUGGACAACAGGAUGCCAGCUGACAACAGUCACAACCCUGUGCUUCAUGUUUGUGUUCUCAGUGUUCCUGACAAUAGCCAUCGUAUCCAUGAACAUGACCUGCACCGAUAAUCCCUGUGACCCCCACUGCCCACAGAUUUAUCGUCAGUACCCAAAUGUGACAUGCUCGGAACAAAGCGCUGUCCCUAAACAAGAUCAUCGCACCACGGAAAAAGUGGAACUGACCCGGAAAAAGCGCAGUUUCUGUAGAGGAUACUGCUACGGAGUGGCAGGGGCCAGGAAAUAUGACAACCCAUGUAACCAAACUGCAACCCUGAAGAAGACCGAAGAUCUAUACCUAUGCUACCACAAAACCAGUUUUUCCUCUACAGUAUGGAUCCCACUAAACUCAUUCCACAUUGGAGGCCGUCGAGGUAACAAGUGGAACGAAUAUGACUGGUACCUGUCAAGCACGGACUGGGACCAAGGCUAG
rnacentral:lncRNA from 1 species